UCCCUGGUGGUCCAGUGGCUAGAAUUCUGCACUUUCACUGCAGAAGUCCCAGGUUAGAUCCCUAGUUGGGGAA
rnacentral:tRNA from 1 species